rnacentral:misc_RNA from 1 species
AAGUCGUAACAAGGUUUCCGUAGGUGAACCUGCGGAAGGAUCAUUAAUGAAUAAUCCUUUACGGAUUCAAUCCGUAUCCACCCCAUGUGAACUGUUAACUGUCUUAUGUCUCGCUCAACCAGUAUGGUCUCUUCGGAGCUGUUUCUGGGUGGGCGGACGUAGUAUAUAAUAAACCUGAUUUUUAACUUGUCUGAAGUAAAUUAAUUAAACUUAAUUAAUUACAACUUUCAACAACGGAUCUCUUGGCUCCU